rnacentral:rRNA from 1 species
UGGGGAAUAUUGGACAAUGGGCGCAAGCCUGAUCCAGCAAUGCCGCGUGUGUGAAGAAGGCCUUCGGGUUGUAAAGCACUUUUAUCAGGAGCGAAACGCUGUCGGCUAAUACCCGGCGGAACUGACGGUACCUGAGGAAUAAGCACCGGCUAACUUCGUGCCAGCAGCCGCGGUAAUACGAAGGGUGCAAGCGUUAAUCGGAAUUACUGGGCGUAAAGCGUGCGUAGGCGGUUUCUUAAGUCUGCUGUGAAAUCCCCGGGCUCAACCUGGGAAUGGCAGUGGAUACUGGGAGGCUAGAGUGUGUCAGAGGGUGGUGGAAUUCCCGGUGUAGCUGUGAAAUGCGUAGAGAUCGGGAGGAACAUCAGUGGCGAAGGCGGCCACCUGGGACAACACUGACGCUGAGGCACGAAAGCGUGGGGGAAGCAAGCAGAUUAGAUACCCUGGUAGUCCACGCCCUAAAGCGAUGCGAACUGGAUGUUGGUCUCAACUCGGAGAUCAGUGUCGAAGCUAACGCGUUAAGUUCGCCGCCUGGGGAGUAC